rnacentral:lncRNA from 1 species
GUAACAAAGUGAAUUCUCGAAAUCCGAGAGUUGCACUUCGUCCAGGAUCGACUAAUGGUCGAGUGAGUACCCCUCGGAGAAGCUAAGGAUGCACGAAACCCAAAAAGUGCAUUGGAAUGGAGUCCGCGAGAGCAAAGAUGCAGAAUCUGCAUCUUUAGCAGAUUUGCUCUCGGGGACCGGUCUCUGGCAGGAGAGACCGGUCCCAUCGGCUGAGGGUUGCAGGGUUGCUGAUGCAACCAGUCCCUGGCAGGGAGGGACCGGUCCCCGCAGG